rnacentral:rRNA from 1 species
UACAGAGGGUGCGAGCGUUAUUCGGAUUUAUUGGGCGUAAAGCGCAUGUAGGCGGUUUGGUAAGUCUGAUGUGAAAUCCCAGAGCUCAAAUCUGGAAGUGCAUUGGAUACUGCCGAACUAGAGUACAGGAGAGGAGAGCGGAAUUUCUGGUGUAGAGGUGAAAUUCGUAGAUAUCAGAAGGAACAACAGUGGCGAAGGCGGCUCUCUGGACUGUUACUGACGCUGAGGUGCGAAAGCGUGGGGAGCAAACAGG